rnacentral:rRNA from 1 species
UACGAAGGGGGCUAGCGUUGCUCGGAAUCACUGGGCGUAAAGGGUGCGUAGGCGGCCAACUAAGUCAGACGUGAAAUCCCUCGGCUUAACCGGGGAACUGCGUCUGAUACUGGAUGGCUUGAAUCCGGGAGAGGGAUGCGGAAUUCCAGGUGUAGCGGUGAAAUGCGUAGAUAUCUGGAGGAACACCGGUGGCGAAGGCGGUUCUCUGGGCAUGUCCUGACGCUGGAGGAGCGGAAGUGUGGGGAGCGAACAGG